AUCUAGCUGAUUAGUCCCAAAUAGGACGAAACGCGCGUCCUGGAU
rnacentral:hammerhead_ribozyme from 1 species